AGUGAACGCUGGCGGUAGGCCUAACACAUGCAAGUCGAACGGCAGCACAGUAAGAGCUUGCUCUUACGGGUGGCGAGUGGCGGACGGGUGAGGAAUACAUCGGAAUCUACUUUUUCGUGGGGGAUAACGUAGGGAAACUUACGCUAAUACCGCAUACGACCUACGGGUGAAAGCAGGGGAUCUUCGGACCUUGCGCGAUUGAAUGAGCCGAUGUGGGAUUAGCUAGUUGGCGGGGUAAAGGCCCACCAAGUCGGCGAUCCGUAGCUGGUCUGAGAGGAUGAUCAGCCACACUGGAAGUGGGACACGGUCCAGACUCCUACGGGAGGCAGCAGUGGGGAAUAUUGGACAGUGGGCGCAAGCCUGAUCCAGCCAUACCGCGUGGGUGAAGAAGGCCUUCGGGUUGUAAAGCCCUUUUGUUGGGAAAGAAAAGCAGCAGGUUAAUACCCCGCUGUUCUGACGGUACCCAAAGAAUAAGCACCGGCUAACUUCGUG
rnacentral:rRNA from 1 species